rnacentral:rRNA from 1 species
GACAGAGGUGCCAAGCGUUAGGCGGAAUCACUGGGCUUAAAGCGUGUGUAGGCGGGUCGUUAAGUACCUUGUGAAAUCCCACGGCUUAACCGUGGAACUGCUCGGUAUACUGGCGAUCUUGAGCCACUUAGGGGCUACCGGAACAAAUGGUGGAGCGGUGAAAUGCGUAGAUAUCAGGAAGAACACCCGUGGCGAAGGCGGUUCUCUGGGACGGUACUGACGCUGAGACGCGAAAGCGUGGGGAGCGAACAGG